GCACUGCUGAGGAGUCCCAAAAUAAGACGAAACGGCCGUCCAAUGC
rnacentral:hammerhead_ribozyme from 1 species